ensembl:lncRNA
UAGAUAGAUAGAUACACAGACAGAUAGAUAGAUGGAUAGAUGGAUAGAUAGAUAGAUAGAUAGAUAGAUAGAUAGAUAGAUAGAUAGAUGGAUAGAUAGAUAGAUAGAUAGAUAGAUGGAUAGAUGGAUAGAUAGAUAGAUAGAUAGAUAGAUAGAUAGAUAGAUAGAUAGAUAGAUGGAUGGAUAGAUAGAUAGAUAGAUAGAUAGAUAGAUAGAUAGAUAGAUAGAUAGAUAGAUGGAUAGAUAGAUAGAGAUAUAUAGAUAUAUACACUGUAGAAGCAAGUGGCUGAGCAGACAUAAUGGGAUAAAGAAGGUAUAGCCCUGGAGGAUUUGGAUUUGUUGUUUACUUUGUAAGUCAUUGUUAUAUAAUGGAAAUUGUCUAUUGGACUGGGUAACUAGUAAUCAGGUAUCUGGGAAUUGGAGUUCGUUCCACUCCACUCACACUUCCACUAUCACCUGGAAGUAUCAUUGGGAUCCUACUUGUAUCAGGAGACUUUUUCUGAGGAAUAAAUGGCUCUACUUCGACCUUCUGGCCCCUAGGGCAGCUCGGUCCAUGACGCUGCUCUCAGUCAGCAGGAAGAACGCUCAGGGCCAUUUCCCUCAUGGCCCCGCCCAGGAAAUGAUAGUGAUCCACAUCCGCCCGCCCCUCUCGAUCAAAUCCAGACACAAGAGUCUGGCUACACUUCUGACUGUGGCCUUCCCCAUUCCAGAGAUGAUAGAGAAGGAGAUGAUGUAGGGGAGCAUGGAGAGGAGGAGAACUGGGUGGAGCAAGGUUGGAGGAGUGAACUACAACUGCUCUGUCACCAAAAAAUCUUCUGAGACAAAUAUUAAAAUGUCACCACAAAACAAAUACAGGAGUGAAAGAACCAGCAAAGAGACAGAUCAAAACAAAUUUCAAGAAAAGAAAAUAACCAAAAGAAUGGAGCAUAUGAAAAUUCAUCUUCAGGGAAAACCAGAACUGUCAGAGGUUCCUGCCUACUUGGUAAUGGUCAUACAGUUUGAGAAUUUCUUACAAUGUUUCUCCAAGAAUUAAAGAUAGAAUUAUUCCAUGAGGUCAAUUUACAGAGCUGACAAUUCUUCCAUUAAAUAGAUUCCCCAAACCAGUUUUUACAUUCACGGGGGGAAAUUGCUGCUAAUGAUGGAAUUUAAUAUAUUCUCCAGUCACCUAAAUCUGAAGCCAGAAAAGUUUGAUUAUGUAUGUAUUCCCUUUUUGUGAAAAGAAAGGAUGCCAAUUAUUUGGUCUUUGUAAAUAAGGACACCGUGGUGGCAAAUGAUACACAUUUGGGUAUUCUGUAGAGGUAGGAAUGAAUAUGAGAAGACAGUAGGUAUGUUGACAUAUUAGACUAAUAGCAUCUUGAAAGCAAAGACUUUUCCCCUUUUCUAUGUAUCCUCAUUACUUGGCAUAAUGCUUAGCAGAUAGUAAGCACUAAAUCCUGCUUUGAUAACUGACUGAUUUAUACACAGGGGAGUGUUGCUAAAUGUAUAACAAUAGAAUCUCUAGAGAAAAAAAAGUAUGUUUGAUAAACAUUUAAUCUUAAUUUCCAUCAUUAACAUUUUUGCCAUUAAAUUCUAGGUAAUCAAUAAGACAGUAAAUCAUAUCCUCUCUUGUACCACUUGUCAAAUUUUGUACUUGACCUUACUGCUAUCAAAGAUCAUGCUUUUUUUUUUAGUUUGGUUAUUGUUUUUCUGUACUCCUUGCAUAAAUCUAGGCAUUUCCCUCUAUUUUUCCUUUUGUCCUAUCCCCCUUCAUUCAAUAAAGAAUUUAGCUUCCUUCA